GGCCGAGUGGUUAAGGCGAUGGACUGCUAAUCCAUUGGGGUUUCCCCGCGUGAGUUCGAAUCUCAUCCUGGUCG
rnacentral:tRNA from 1 species